GUGUGCCGCCUACUUACCAAGUUCGCUUUCCUAAGUACUAGUGCCGCAGGAGUUAGGUUCGUGUCCGCAAUACCUCCUGCUGCCCAAGUGCUUAUUAAAGCGGCGAGUUGCCCAGCAAAAGAAUACA
rnacentral:pre_miRNA from 15 species